rnacentral:rRNA from 1 species
AGGACGAACGCUGGCGGCGUGCUUAACACAUGCAAGUCGAGCGGUAAGGCCCUUUCGGGGGUACACGAGCGGCGAACGGGUGAGUAACACGUGGGUGACCUGCCCUUAGCUCUGGGAUAAGCCUGGGAAACUGGGUCUAAUACCGGAUAUGACCUCGCGAUGCAUGUCGUGGGGUGAAAGCCUUGUGCGGCUAGGGAUGGGGCCCGCGGCCUAUCAGCUUGUUGGUGGGGUGAUGGCCUACCAAGGCGACGACGGGUAGCCGGCCUGAGAGGGCGACCGGCCACACUGGGGACUGAGACACGGCCCAGACUCCUACGGGAGGCAGCAGUGGGGAAUCUUGCGCAAUGGGCGAAAGCCUGACGCAGCGACGCCGCGUGAGGGAUGACGGCCUUCGGGUUGUAAACCGUCUUUCAGCCCUGACGAAGCGAAAGUGACGGUAGGGGCAGAAGAAGCACCGGCCAACUACGCGCCAGCAGCCGCGGUA